UACGUAUGGUGCAAGCGUUAUCCGGAUUUACUGGGUGUAAAGGGAGCGCAGGUGGCAUGGCAAGCCAGAAGUGAAAGCCCGGGGCUUAACCGCGGGACUGCUUUUGGAACUGUUGUGCUGGAGUGCAGGAGGGGUAAGCGGAAUUCCUAGUGUAGCGGUGAAAUGCGUAGAUAUUAGGAAGAACACCGGUGGCGAAGGCGGCUUACUGGACUGUAACUGACACUGAGGCUCGAAAGCGUGGGGAGCAAACAGG
rnacentral:rRNA from 1 species